rnacentral:lncRNA from 10 species
GUAUCCUAGAGAAGUAAGGUUUCCAAGGAGUUGGUUGUGUCCAACAGAUAGCAACCAUUGACUUUGGCAAAGCACAGAUCACUGGCACUUUAAUAAGUUCUAGAAGCUGAGAAGUCCAACAUCAAGGCACAGGCAGGUGGCAGGUUUGAUUGUCUGGUGAAGGCUGCCCUCUGCUUCCAAGAUGGACCCUUGUUGUUGCAUUUUCUGGAAAAAAGGAACACUGUGUUCUCAGAUGGCUGAAAGCAGAAGGAACCUCAGGCCAAGUGUUCUUGACAGCUCAUCCACAGACUCCCACUGGUAAAGCAGCAUGAGGAUGGCUUCUGUUAUUUUAUUUCAGAAUUUUUUCCUGCAGUGGCAUGCCAGUACCAGCUGAGGAUCAUGUAUGCAAUAUUUGCCUUCUUUCAUCUUCUACCUAGGAUGGCUUUAAUUCUCUUCGAGGAGAAUUUAUUUUAGUUUUUCCCAGUAAGAGAAUCCACUUCUCUUGCCCAUAUUCAUAAAUUAUCAUUAAAAAUUAAACUUGGUACAAUAAAUAUUAACAUGGUUCCAGCUUCUCCAUUGUUAUGCUCAGAAUUCAGUUCAUUGGCAGGAUCUAGGCAUAGGAUCAGUCCAAAGUUGGGCCAAGGCACAAGGAAGGUUUGCACAAGUUUAGAGCAUCAUUGAGAAUCCAUAUGGCAUCAAAUUCUGACCAUCAGAACCAAUCAUUUUAGUCAAAUUGCUGAGACACAAAUUAAGUCCAGGAAUCGGUAG